rnacentral:rRNA from 1 species
UACGUAGGGUGCGAGCGUUGUCCGGAAUUACUGGGCGUAAAGAGCUCGUAGGUGGUUUGUCGCGUUGUUCGUGAAAACUCACAACUCAAUUGUGGGCGUGCGGGCGAUACGGGCAGACUGGAGUACUGCAGGGGAGACUGGAAUUCCUGGUGUAGCGGUGGAAUGCGCAGAUAUCAGGAGGAACACCGGUGGCGAAGGCGGGUCUCUGGGCAGUAACUGACGCUGAGGAGCGAAAGCGUGGGUAGCAAACAGG